GGACUCUUACGUGUUUAAGUGCAGGUACAGUGCCUUUUGUUAACCUCGAAAUCCAUUCUCACCUAACUCCCUUUUCCUGACUGCAAAGGGUAAUUGGGACUGUUAACGGGCUGUACUGCAGCCACAUUCCUCUUGUAGUCUAGGAUCCCAUUCCCUCCUAUUUGAUUUGCAUUACCCCAGAGGGUACAAGGGACUUUUAAAGUGCUUAAGUGGCACUAUAGUCCCUUAUGUUAUCUAGGACCCCAUUCCCAUCUAACUUUUCAUGACUGCAGAGUGUACUUGGGACUGUAAAUGUACUUAACUGCCUAUACAGUCUCACCCCUUAGUCCAAAUUACAUGCCCUCCUACUUGAAUUGUAUUAUAACAGAGGGUACAAGGGACUUUUAAUGUGCUUUUUUAAAAGCAGCUAAAUUUCCUUACCAUAACCUCAAAAUCCAUUUCCAUCUCAAAAUCCACUCCCACCUAACUCCCUUUCCAUCACAGCAGAGGGUACUUGGGACUGUUAAUAGGCUUAAUUAAAGCUAUUCUCCCUUCUGUUGGUCUAGAUUUCCUUUCCUGCCUCUAUUUGGAUUGUACCACAGUGUACAAUGGACUGUUAACUGUGCUUAAAUGCGGGUACAGUCCUUUUUUAAAACCUAGGAUCCUAUUCCCACCUAACUCCCUUUGCUUUACUGCAGAGGGUACUUGGGGCUUGUUAAUAGGCUUAGUUGGACUACAGUCCUUUCUGUUAGUCUAAUUUCCUAAGCUCACCAAUUCCCUUUGUAUUACAGCAGAGGGUACUUGGGACUGUUAAAGUGUUUAUUUGCAGCUCUGGUCCCUUCUCUUAGUCUGGGGUCCAUGCCCCCAGCUUUGUUUGCAUUACCGCAGAGGGUACUUGGAACUGUGAAUGUGCUUAAAUUCAGGUGUGGUCCCUUUUAAUUUAGGAUUGCUCGACUCCUUUUACCAGGGAGGGCAUUUGGGACUGUCAAGGUGGUAAGGGCACCUGCGUUCCUUUCUUUCUGUUCAUCUAGGAUCCCAUUCCC
rnacentral:lncRNA from 1 species